rfam:Triticum aestivum genome assembly, contig: Triticum_aestivum_CS42_TGACv1_scaffold_093589_2AL
GUACUACUCCCUCCGUUCUAAAUUACUCGUCGCAGAAAUGAAUGUAUCUAGAACUAAACUAAAUCUAGAUACGUCCAUAUCUGCAACAAGUAAUUCGGAACGGAGAGAGUAGAUU